CCUACGGGUGGCAGCAGUGGGGAAUAUUGCGCAAUGGGCGAAAGCCUGACGCAGCGACGCCGCGUGAGGGAUGAAGGUCUUCGGAUUGUAAACCUCUGUCAGCAGGGAAGAAAGGUCACUGUGCUAAUCAGCAGUGAAUUGCCGGUACCGGACAAGGAAGCACCGGCUAACUCCGUGCCAGCAGCCGCGGUAAUACGGAGGGUGCGAGCGGUAAUCGGAAUUAGUGGGCGUAAAGCGCUCGUAGGCGGAAUGGCAAGCCAAGGGUGAAAUCCCCGCGCUCAACGUGGGAACUGCCUUUGAAACUGGCAAACUGGAGUGUGUGAGAGGAAAGUGGAAUUCCUGGUGUAGGAGUGAAAUCCGUAGAUAUCUGGAGGAACAUCAGUGGCGAAGGCGACUUUCUGGCACAUAACUGACGCUGAGGCGCGAAAGCGUGGGUAGCAAACAGGAUUAGAUACCCUUGUAGUC
rnacentral:rRNA from 1 species